UACGGAGGGAGCUAGCGUUGUUCGGAAUUACUGGGCGUAAAGCGCGCGUAGGCGGCUUUGUAAGUUAGAGGUGAAAGCCCGGGGCUCAACCCCGGAACUGCCUUUAAGACUGCAUCGCUUGAAUCCGGGAGAGGUGAGUGGAAUUCCUAGUGUAGAGGUGAAAUUCGUAGAUAUUAGGAAGAACACCGGUGGCGAAGGCGGCCCACUGGCUCGACACUGACGCUGAGGUGCGAAAGCGUGGGGAGCAAACAGG
rnacentral:rRNA from 1 species